rnacentral:rRNA from 1 species
UGAUUGAUAAGCAUUGAGUGAGUGGCGGACGGUGAGUAACACGUGGGUAACCUGCCCUAAAGUGGGGAUAACAUUGGAAACAGAUGCUAAUACCGCAUAAAACCUAGCACCGCAUGGUGCAGGGUUGAAAGAUGGGUUUCGGCUAUCACUUUAGGAUGGACCCGCGGUGCAUUAGUUAGUUGGUGAGGUAAAGGCUCACCAAGACCGUGAUGCAUAGCCGACCUGGAGAGGGUAAUCGGCCACACUGGGACUGUGACACGGCCCAGACUCCUACGGGAGGCAGCAGUAGGGAAUCUUCCACAAUGGACGAAAGUCUGAUGGAGCAACGCCGCGUGAGUGUAGAAGGUUUUCGGAUCGUAAAACUCUGUUGUUGGAGAAGAAUGUAUCUGAUAGUAACUGAUCAGGUAGUGACGGUAUCCAACCAGAAAGCCACGGCUAACUACGUG